UUGUUGCCUUUCGAGAACACGACCAGCGCACAUGUAACGCAAAGCCGCCGAGGAUUAAUCUCCUCGGCCCAACCGCCCCGGCCAUCUACGUCCGCUGCGACAUACGGUGGCCGCGGUGUCGGAAUACGGCGCGGGAUGACGCCAAGGAAUACAUAAUUUGCCGAGGCAGACGACGACUCGCGCUAGCGUUCCGUUUGUCUGUCGAGGCCCUAGUAAAAAAC
rnacentral:misc_RNA from 1 species